UAAAGGCGCCGAAAGAAAAGAAAAAGAGACGAUCCUUCCCAACCUUCUGCCCUGCUGCGUCACGCCUGGAGGACGUCACAGGCGUCACGCUGUCCUAAGCCAAAGCCGUCCUGCGCGAGACACUAGCUGAUGUCACGUUGGGAACUGAGGGCGGCGUUGACUCGUCCUUUCUCUCGCAUCGAGCGUUCGGGGAAGGCGUGGCUUCUUGUUUCGGCCCGUGAAGGUGGGGGCUGGAGCAGGUGGCCGGAUGAGGUCGGAAUUAUUUAGCCCCUCCCCUUCUCCCCAGACCCACCCCGGCAUAUUGAACAUUUCAACUCCCAUGAUGCUGUGCUGGACAGGAAUUAUGGUUCCUUGAACUCUUAACUCAUCCGAAGGGACAGGCGUGAGAUGGCAGGUCUGUCACAUAAUUUUUAAAAAGAGGGAAAUGUCGAAGGUAGUUCUCACAGCUAAUCCGCUCAGAAUUCAGCCAAUGGGAUUUAUUCCCAGGAACUAUGAAAUUCAGAAGCCACAUCGCAUGGAAGAAAUGUUUCCUGGGUUGGAAGAGCAAGGAAAAGAGAUGGUCUUCAUUAUUCCCUUCCAGGGAUAAUGGUUAGGGUUUCUUAAAGGCAUAUGGUUGUUUUCAGUCUUGUCCCAAUUCAGCUAAAGUCAUUUUAUAUCUUGCUGACUGUACAAUACUGAUAAAAGAUAUUCUCAACAUGCUCAAAGGCAUGGUAGGCAAGAGCCACAUUAGUCUAGAGUGGCAAAGAGUCAGGAAUCUGGUAACAUCUUUUCUGACUAUAGAAUUUUAUUAAAGCUCUCAUACUCUUACAUUUUUCAAUCAAAAUCAGUUAUAUAGAAAAAAAGUGCUACCAGAUUUUUAUGGAACAUGUUCAAAGUAUCAUUUGCAUGUCCUGUGCCACUCUGCUCAAAUAUUGUAGGUAAUGAAACCUUGCACAAAUGUAAAUUAUAACUACAGUUUAUAUUGUAUUUUCUGUAAAUCUGAGUAAAUGUUACACAAAAUUG